GAUGAACGCUAGCGGCGUGCCUAACACAUGCAAGUCGAACGGAGUCCAGCCUUUAAGACCUUCGGGUCAAAGAGGGGAAGACUGAGUGGCGGACGGGUGAGUAACACGUGGGCAACCUGGCUCAUAGAGGGGGAUAACAGAGAGAAAUUUCUGCUAAUACCGCAUAAGCACACACUGCCGCAUGGCAGAGGGUGAAAAGAGAAUCGCUAUGAGAUGGACCCGCGUCUGAUUAGCCAGUUGGCAGGGUAAGAGCCUACCAAAGCGACGAUCAGUAGCCGAUCUGAGAGGAUGAACGGCCACAUUGGGACUGAGACACGGCCCAAACUCCUACGGGAGGCAGCAGUGGGGGAUAUUGCACAAUGGGGGGAACCCUGAUGCAGCGACGCCGCGUGAGUGAAGAAGUAUUUCGGUAUGUAAAGCUCUAUCAGCAGGGAAGAUAAUGACAGUACCUGAAUAAGAAGCCCCGGCUAACUACGUG
rnacentral:rRNA from 1 species